UGGCCACAUCACAUUGAAACACCAGUUCCUGUAUGAUCACUGAAGCUAAGCAACGUUGAACCUGGUCAUUACCUAGAUUGGUGACCGCUUGGGAAUAUCAGCUGCUGUAAG